CAGUGGGGAAUAUUGCACAAUGGGCGAAAGCCUGAUGCAGCGACGCCGCGUGAGGGAUGACGGCCUUCGGGUUGUAAACCUCUUUCAGUAGGGAACAAGGCCGCACGUUGUGUGGUUGAGGGUACUUGCAGAAGAAGCGCCGGCUAACUACGUGCCAGCAGCCGCGGUAAUACGUAGGGCGCAAGCGUUAUCCGGAAUUAUUGGGCGUAAAGAGCUCGUAGGCGGUUUGUCGCGUCUGCCGUGAAAGUCCGGGGCUCAACUCCGGAUCUGCGGUGGGUACGGGCAGACUAGAGUGAUGUAGGGGAGACUGGAAUUCCUGGUGUAGCGGUGAAAUGCGCAGAUAUCAGGAGGAACACCGAUGGCGAAGGCAGGUCUCUGGGCAUUAACUGACGCUGAGGAGCGAAAGCAUGGGGAGCGAACAGGAUUAGA
rnacentral:rRNA from 1 species